UUAAGCAUAUCAAUAAGCGGAGGAAAAGAAACCAACAGGGAUUGCCCUAGUAACGGCGAGUGAAGCGGCAACAGCUCAAAUUUGAAAUCUGGCCCUCGUGGUCCGAGUUGUAAUUUGUAGAGGAUGCUUUUGGUGCGGUGCCUUCCGAGUUCCCUGGAACGGGACGCCAUAGAGGGUGAGAGCCCCGUCUGGUUGGACACCAAUCCUCUGUAAAGCUCCUUCGACGAGUCGAGUAGUUUGGGAAUGCUGCUCUAAAUGGGAGGUAAAUGUCUUCUAAAGCUAAAUACCGGCCAGAGACCGAUAGCGCACAAGUAGAGUGAUCGAAAGAUGAAAAGCACUUUGAAAAGAGGGUUAAAUAGUACGUGAAAUUGUUGAAAGGGAAGCGUUUGUGACCAGACUUGGGCUUGGUUAAUCAUCCAGCGUUCUCGCUGGUGCACUUUGCCAGCCCAGGCCAGCAUCAGUUCGCUGCGGGGGAUAAAAGCUUCGGGAACGUGGCUCUUCGGAGUGUUAUAGCCCGCUGCAUAAUACCCUGUGGCGGACUGAGGUUCGCGCAUCUGCAAGGAUGCUGGCGUAA
rnacentral:rRNA from 2 species